AACGAACGCUGGCGGCAUGCCUAACACAUGCAAGUCGAACGAAGCCUCCGGGCUUAGUGGCGCACGGGUGCGUAACGCGUGGGAAUCUGCCCUUGGGUUCGGAAUAACAGUUAGAAAUGACUGCUAAUACCGAAUGAUGUCUUCGGGACCAAAGAUUUAUCGCCCAAGGAUGAGCCCGCGUCGGAUUAGCUAGUUGGUGAGGUAAAGGCUCACCAAGGCGACGAUCCGUAGCUGGUCUGAGAGGAUGAUCAGCCACACUGGGACUGAGACACGGCCCAGACUCCUACGGGAGGCAGCAGUGGGGAAUAUUGGACAAUGGGCGAAAGCCUGAUCCAGCAAUGCCGCGUGAGUGAUGAAGGCCUUAGGGUUGUAAAGCUCUUUUACCCGGGAUGAUAAUGACAGUACCGGGAGAAUAAG
rnacentral:rRNA from 1 species